ACACAAAUAGCAACCACCACUGCAGAGCCUGCCAUAUUACAUUCUGGAGUGGCGGAAGUCCAGCACGUGCAGCCCAUCAAGCGGCGCAAAGGUUUGGCUGGCCGUGCCAGGAGCUGGUUAAAAAAAAAAUGGAGGCAUAAGAAAAUUUGCCCCAUUGAAAAUGAAGCUCCUGUUGAAGAACCAAAGGAGUGCAAAACUCUUUUUCACCUGACAUCACCUGAUCAUGAGACAUCACCUGACAUAGAAAAUGCUACAGAUGAAUAUCAACACACUCCUGUUGAUGACUCAGAGGAGUGUACACAUGGCAGUAAGAAGAAAGAGGUUGCCUCUGACAUGGAGAAGCCUGCAGCCCAGUAUCACAACCGUCCUGCUAAGGUCUUACAAGACCUUAUCAUAGAAGACAUUGAGGAUGAUGAGCUGUUCCCUGAUGUGGAGAAGCCAGCGGCCCAGUAUCACCACCGUCCUGCUAAGGUCUUACAAGACCUCAUCAUAGAAGACAUUGAGGAUGAUGAGCUGUUCCCUGAUGUGGUCCUGCUAAGGUCUUACAAGACCUCAUCAUAG
rnacentral:lncRNA from 13 species